CGUGUUUACAUCGCCGUAUGUCAUCUUUUCUUUGUCGUCGUUACAAACAUUUUCCGUUCUAAAUUUUUCGAUGUAGGUUAUACUGAAAUAAUGUGAUCCAAUUCUUAAGCAAAGAAAUUAUUUCACCAAAGGGCGAUAAUUUAUUUCACGAUUAGUUAUCUCUCUUGUUUAAUGGAGUCAGAAAACUGUUGGUAGAAUCGUCACGAAAACAUCACGGUACAUUGAAAUGGGUGAGCACACUGGACAUUUACGGGAAAUACUCCAAAGUCGACAGGCAACGGUUCCCAUGUCCUCAACAGAUGAAAAACACCUGCGGAUUUGUGAAAACCUACAAGAACUUGUUCUGGAUUAUGAACGCAGGUCAUAUGGUACCAAAAGAUAAUGGUGCCGCUGGACUGGAAAUGGUCAAACAGAUUUUGAGAUCGAAAUUCUUAAACGAGGUCUUAUUUGACAUAUUAGUCACAGGCUGUAUUCAAUUUGAUAUGCAAGAGCUUAUUUUCAUAUAUUGCAACUAUUGUUCAUAAGAAAAGCAUUAAACGUAA